rnacentral:lncRNA from 1 species
CUGUGAGCAAUGUAUUAACCUUCAGAUGCCAGCGAUUAGGUGAAUAAUUAAAAGCAUCUGAACAAAAUUUGGCUGUUGAACAGUCAUGAGGGCUGUUUGGUUUUUUACCAUGUACUUUCAAGGUAAAGGACAUGGAAAGUGAAAUCAAAACGCGAAAGAAAGUGCAAGUGGAGAAGCAAGCCGAGGGGAAGGCAGAGAUGAUUCCCCCCGCAGCCUCGCUAAGGCAUUGAUCGGACAUUCGCAAAAUCUUUAUCCAUUGCCUGCUGCGUGCAAGAAGAUAUUGGGCAAUAAUUCAACCAAUUAUUGGUAUGGGGAAGAGUUUAAAAUACAAAUGUAGGACUUCCUGUGGUGGCUCAGCGGGUUAAGCACCUGACGAGUAUCUAUGGGGACGCGGGUACAUCCCUGGCCUUGCUCACUGGGUUUAGGAUCCUGCAGUUGCCACUCGCUGCAUAGUAGGCGGAUGCAGCUGGGAGACGGCAUUGCUGUGGCUGUGGCCUGGGCCUCAGCUGCAGCUCCCAUUCGACCCUGCCUGGAACUUCCAUAUGGUGCACAUGUGGCUGGUAAAAGAAAAAAAAAAUAUAUAUAUAUAUAUAUAUAUAUGUAUAUAUAUAUCCACAUGGAUAUGUGCAUUUGUAAGACCUGUAGGUCUGGGGAGAUGAUUCUGAUGUCUGCUGGGUUCUUAACCCGCUAAGCCACAACAGGAACUCCCAAGUCUUACCCAUUUUCUUUAUUGACCAUCUCAAUGGCUCCAUCUCCACCAACUCUUCCCUGAUGACCCUGGUUAAAAAAUGGCCAUUCCUUCCUAUAAAUGCGAUUAAAUUUUGGCAGUAGCUCUCUUCAUAAAUGCACUGUAAAACUUGUUUCUAUAUUUUUUUCAUUUUACACUUACAAUUUCCCUAAGUCAGAAUGUUGGACAAAUGUGACUCUCCUUCCCCAGAUUUGGAGCAGUCAGUGGGCAUGUUCAGGAACACAAGCCUAGAAAAUGAAAGAACAUGCACCAGAACUCACAUCUCUUCUAACCUCCUAGACCCUUCUUCUUUAUAAUCCUGGUUGGGUUCGUUACCGCUAAGCCACAAUGGGAACUCCCAAAGUUUAUUAUUAUAGAUACAGUAUAACAUGGGGGAGAACACACAGAGAAGUAGUGUAUUUGAGAUUUCAAGACAGUAAUAUGAGGGCGUUCCCUUCCUGGCUCAGCGAUUAAUGAACCCCACUAGGAUCCAUUGAGGAUGCAGGUUUGAUCCCUGGCCUUGCUCAGUGGCUUAAGGAUCUGGCAUUGCCGUGAGCUGUGGUGUAGGUAGCAGAUUCGGCUUGGAUCCUGCAUUGCUAUGGCUGUGGUAUAGGCUGGCAGCUGUAGCUCCCAUUCAACCCCUAGUCUGGGUGCUUCCAUAUGCCGCAGAUGUGGCCCUAAAAAAGAAAAAAAAAAAAAGACGAUAAUAUGCACCCAAAAAAGGAGUGCAGGUGGGGGCAUCCUCCUGAAUGAGUAGCAAGACAGAGAGGUGCUUAAAAUCCCUUAUAAAGGACAGUUCUUCUGGGUCUUUGCUUUCCUUUGGGCAAUUAUCUUGUUUUAUUUCUUGCACCUGACUCAGGGCCCUCCCCAAUAUACAUGGUCAUCUUUUGGCCAAGAUGGUUUCCAGAGCAAGGGUUCUGGGACGGUAUCAGGACUUGUUAUGACCUGGCACUCCCUCCCUUUUUGACUCCUAGGAGUCUUUCCGCACAUGUGUAGUUGGGGAGGUCCCCUUGACCCCAGGAGUGAUUAAUGUGGUUAUCUUUUUCAAUCCAGCAGAGCUCAGCUCCUGCCAUUAACUUUCUCCCUAAGCUGUCAAAGAGAAACGAGGCCCAAUUGACUUAGCCUAACAAGUCCCAGCUGUUGUCAGCCCAGGGGCCCAUCUAUCUCCUAUCUCAAUAUGGCAGGAAGGGGUAGGGGUGAAUAAAUUGCUAUUUCUAUUGCCCUCA